rnacentral:sRNA from 1 species
AAACCUCAUGCGGACCUGUGGGGUAGGUACUGUUGCUAUCAGCUCCAUUUCAUAGGGCUGGGAAGACAGAGGGGGUCAUCACUUGCCCAAGGUCAUUCAGCUAAAACCUGGACCCACACGACUGCAGAGUCUGUGCUUGCUCCUCUCUGCCAUACUGCCUGCUGCCUCAGGAUCCCCGUCCCCGACUCCCAGGUACUUCCGGAACCUGUGCUCAGAUGACACCCCCAUGGUGCGGCGGGCCGCAGCCUCCAAGCUGGGGGAGUUUGCCAAGGUGCUGGAGCUGGACAACGUCAAGAGUGAGAUCAUCCCCAUGUUCUCCAACCUGGCCUCUGACGAGCAGGACUCGGUGCGGCUGCUGGCGGUGGAGGCGUGCGUGAACAUCGCCCAGCUUCUGCCCCAGGAGGAUCUGGAGGCCCUGGUGAUGCCCACUCUGCGCCAGGCUGCUGAAGACAAGUCCUGGCGCGUCCGCUACAUGGUGGCUGACAAGUUCACAGAGCUCCAGAAAGCAGUGGGGCCUGAGAUCACCAAGACAGACCUGGUCCCUGCCUUCCAGAACCUG